AUUGAACGCUGGCGGCAGGCCUAACACAUGCAAGUCGAGCGGAUGAAGGGAGCUUGCUCCUGGAUUCAGCGGCGGACGGGUGAGUAAUGCCUAGGAAUCUGCCUGGUAGUGGGGGAUAACGUCCGGAAACGGGCGCUAAUAUCGCAUACGUCCUGAGGGAGAAAGUGGGGGAUCUUCGGACCUCACGCUAUCAGAUGAGCCUAGGUCGGAUUAGCUAGUUGGUGGGGUAAAGGCCUACCAAGGCGACGAUCCGUAACUGGUCUGAGAGGGUGAUCAGUCACACUGGAACUGAGACACGGUCCAGACUCCUACGGGAGGCAGCAGUGGGGAAUAUUGGACAAUGGGCGAAAGCCUGAUCCAGCCAUGCCGCGUGUGUGAAGAAGGUCUUCGGAUUGUAAAGCACUUUUAGUAGGGAGGAAGGGCAGUAAGAUAAUACCUUGCUGUUUUGACGUUACCAACAGAAUAAGCACCGGCUAACUUCGUG
rnacentral:rRNA from 1 species